rnacentral:rRNA from 1 species
GAUGAACGCUAGCUACAGGCUUAACACAUGCAAGUCGAGGGGCAGCAUGAUUGAAGCUUGCUUCAAUCGAUGGCGACCGGCGCACGGGUGAGUAACACGUAUCCAACCUGCCGAUAACUCGGGGAUAGCCUUUCGAAAGAAAGAUUAAUACCCGAUAGUAUAGUAUUUCCGCAUGGUUUCACUAUUAAAGAACUUCGGUUAUCGAUGGGGAUGCGUUCCAUUAGAUAGUUGGCGGGGUAACGGCCCACCAAGUCAACGAUGGAUAGGGGUUCUGAGAGGAAGGUCCCCCACAUUGGAACUGAGACACGGUCCAAACUCCUACGGGAGGCAGCAGUGAGGAAGAUUGGUCAAUGGACGAGAGUCUGAACCAGCCAAGUAGCGUGAAGGAUGACUGCCCUAUGGGUUGUAAACUUCUUUUAGACGGGAAUAAAGUGGAGUAUGCAUACUCCUUUGUAUGUACCGGAUGAAUAAGGAUCGGCUAACUCCGUG